AAUUUCCCUCCACAAGCCUUGCAAUCUCACAGUGGUAAGAUAUCAAAGCAACAAAAACUCUAAGCUUUCACUCACGACGACAUACCAGUGGUCAAUAACUGCAGCUAUUUGGCCUUCUUCUAAUGAAGUAACAAGCAGAAAGCCAAGAUUUAAGGUUUUUCAUUUCAAAAGUUGAGAGAUUCGACCAAUGUAGUCUAGAUUGGAGGACCAAUCGAAUAAAGGAGUCCUUUUUCUACCAAUUGGAAGAGGAGGAGGUUAUGAUUUUUCAAUAUCCUGAAGCGAGAUCGUGUAAAGUGUUGCAAAUUUUCAGCGGAACGCAAGUUAAAUUGUAGCUCCCUGAAGAUGUUGGCAUUUGGAAAGUGGUGUUGAUCGAUUUAAGUGAUAGUCUACCCAUCUUGAAGAGAAUUAUGGUAAAGGUGAAAGAAGCACUCCACUCCAAGGACAACAUGUUUCCUUGCCUAGGUUGCAAAGGAUACUUGUUUGCUAAAAGAAGAGAUCAAAAUCAUUGUGUUAAAGAAGGCGAUGCCAAAAAUCAUGAAGAUUACAUCAAUGAACUCAUUAGGAAGUUGAAUUAUGCUUUUAAAGAUUAUGAUUUAUUUUAGUAGUCUUGGUACCAAUGUUUGUUCUUAUGUUGAAAAAAUUAGAAAUU